GUGCAAUGAUGUGUGAAAUUCUUCACCUGAAAUCACUGUAGAGUAAAAUGGAGCUUUUUAACCCUGAGUGGC